GCUUAUGGCCAUACCACCCUGAAUACCUCCGAUCUCGGAAGCUGACCAGAGUCGGGCCUGGUUAGUACUUGGAUGAGAGACUGCCUGGGAAUACCAGGUGCUGCAAGUU
rnacentral:rRNA from 1 species